rnacentral:rRNA from 1 species
CAAGACUCCUACGGGAGGAAGCAGUGGGGGAUAUUGCACGAUGGGGGGAACCCGGAUGCAGCGACGCCGCGUGGGUGAGGGAGUAUUUCGGUAUGUAAAGCCAUAUCGGCAGGGAAGAAGCAAGACGGUACCUGACUAAGAAGCCCCGGCUAAAUACGUGCCAGCAGCCGCGGUAAUACGUAGGGGGCGAGAGUUAUGCGGAUUCACUGAGUGUAAAGGGAGCGUAGACGGCCAUGCAAGCCAGGGGUGAAAGCCCGGGGCCCAACCCCGGGACUGCCCUUGGAUCUGCAUGGCUGGAGUGCGGGAGGGGCAGGCGGAAUUCCUGGUGUCGCGGUGAAAUGCGUAGAUAUCAGGAGGAACACCGGCGGCGAAGGCGGCCUGCUGGACCGCGACUGACGUU